AUGACCUUAGUUGAACAGGAUCUGUUCUAUAGAUUCGUACCUCUGUAUUCUUGAGUUCUAAGGAGACAGGAAACUAAGCCUGGUGAAUGUCAGGGUACUAGAGCUUCCAGGCUUGGUUGUCUGACAGGAU
rnacentral:snoRNA from 1 species